rnacentral:rRNA from 1 species
AUGUCAGCUUCUGUAGAUAGUGCACGGAAGGGGUGCAGCUGUGGCAGCUCCAAAUGGCAGAACUUCAGCACCAAAUGCCUGAACAGAAAGUGCGGUUGUUACAAGGAUGGUGUGCGUUGCAUGCUUGGGCGAUGCAAGUGCAAGCGCUGCAAGAACAAUCCGGAUCAGCUGGCCUAUGAGGGUGGCAAGGGGUGCACGUGCAAAUCCAACAAAUGCAAAAUCAUGACCUGUGGUUGCCGGGAGCGCGGGGCCAGGUGCACCUUAGAAUGCAGUUGCCAAGGGUGCGAAAAUGGAAAAGGGACCGGAGGGGAAGCAGCUGAUAAGUCCGAUGCUGGACCAGGAGGGCAGGGAGGUACCAUCAGCAGCGACAAGGCCGUCGAAUCAUCCAGCAAACGGGCAAAACUCAAGUGA